AAAUGAUUGAAUGUUUAACAACUUUAUCAUUGAACUGUUUAUUUUAUCCGAAAAUUUUGAGAUUUAUAUCGUCUUGUACUUCGGACUGCGGGCUCAAAUAUAGGCUGCCGGUUGAUUUUUGGACAGCAAUGGAAGAAUGUUGCUGGAAGAUAACGCCGCUGUUGCGAGGACUAGUACUGGAAUAAUGGCUUGCAGCAUCUGUAACAAAACAAUACUACAGUAUCUAUUUUGGCUAGCUUAUCGCAAACAUUUUUACUGCGCUAUAUGGGUAUUCGACAUAACAAACCUAAAGUGUUGAGUUACUGAAGUCAUCAUAACAUGAUUAAUGUUACCUAACUCGAGACGUGAGGUCAUAGUUUCAUUCUUUUUAGAGAGCCUAGUCUUCAAACUGGAACGUGUGACCGCUUCGUGGCAGAAAUGGACAGGAUGCUAUUUAGCCGUGUGUGUUCACAUUGCGUCCAAUCAUCAGAUAAUAGAUCCGAGUUUACCAAAGCCCACUGCGAACAGCCUAAUUUCAGUUUUGAUCGAUAAAUAAUUGAAACUAGGUCAGGUGAAAACAAUUACGAUUGAUCGUCAUUCAGCUUAAUCGGGCAAUCAUGCCAAGUAACCGGUCUAUUGUGUUCAGUGAAAGUGAUUCAAUCUGAAAACCACGAAGUAUUAAGACACGUACGACCAUUUAAAGAAAGGUUUUUCCUAUUUAUCUAACACGUGGCAGAAGAUAGGAAUUCCUGAAAGGCAAUAAAGGUUAUUAAUGGGAUCCGUUCGGUAUACGUAAUUAAAGACGAAUGAUGCCCCAGAAUACAAGCAGGAAAACGUUACUAGCGAACUGUGGCAUAUCUCUUGACGUAGAAAAUGGGUUAAUGAAUAAUUUAUUUUGGUUAGGGUUCGUCUGACAUUUGGAGGUAUUUUCUGUCAGUACUUUCUUUUUCGUGUACCUAAACAAAGAAAAAAAACCAACAGAUAACAACAGAUAACGCCUUCAUUGAAAUUUUGUAAUAGAUUUCAAUAUCUUUUAGUUAAUCAAAUAUGUUAAACAUGUAAUCAUCAUCAAUACUUAUUUCUAUUGUAUUGAAGGAAAGUAAUAAAAAUAAUUUUUAUAAA